AUUAGCUCAGUUGGUAGAGCAUCUGACUUUUAAUCAGAGGGUCGUAGGUUCGAGCCCUACAU
rnacentral:tRNA from 1 species